GAUGAACGCUGGCGGCGUGCCUAAUACAUGCAAGUCGAGCGAACAGAUGAGGAGCUUGCUCCUCUGACGUUAGCGGCGGACGGGUGAGUAACACGUGGAUAACCUACCUAUAAGACUGGGAUAACUUCGGGAAACCGGAUCUAAUACCGGAUAAUAUAUUGAACCGCAUGGUUCAAUAGUGAAAGACGGUUUUGCUGUCACUUAUAGAUGGAUCCGCGCCGCAUUAGCUAGUUGGUAAGGUAACGGCUUACCAAGGCAACGAUGCGUAGCCGACCUGAGAGGGAGAUCGGCCACACUGGAACUGAGACACGGUCCAGACUCCUACGGGAGGCAGCAGUAGGGAAUCUUCCGCAAAGGGCGAAAGCCUGACGGAGCAACGCCGCGUGAGUGAUGAAGGUCUUCGGAUCGUAAAACUCUGUUAUUAGGGAAGAACAAAUGUGUAAGUAACUAUGCACGUCUUGACGGUACCUAAUCAGAAAGCCACGGCUAACUACGUG
rnacentral:rRNA from 1 species